rnacentral:rRNA from 1 species
UACGUAGGUGGCAAGCGUUGUCCGGAAUUAUUGGGCGUAAAGCGCGCGCAGGCGGUCCUUUAAGUCUGAUGUGAAAGCCCACGGCUCAACCGUGGAGGGUCAUUGGAAACUGGGGGACUUGAGUACAGAAGAGAAGAGUGGAAUUCCACGUGUAGCGGUGAAAUGCGUAGAGAUGUGGAGGAACACCAGUGGCGAAGGCGACUCUUUGGUCUGUAACUGACGCUGAGGCGCGAAGCGUGGGGAGCAAACAGGA